rnacentral:rRNA from 1 species
UCGACCUCAGAUCAGGUAGGAAUACCCGCUGAACUUAAGCAUAUCAAUAAGCGGAGGAAAAGAAACCAACAGGGAUUGCCUCAGUAACGGCGAGUGAAGCGGCAACAGCUCAAAUUUGAAAUCUGGCCUCUGGCCCGAGUUGUAAUUUGCAGAGGAUGUUUCUGGCGAGGUGCCUUCCGAGUUCCCUGGAACGGGACGCCAUAGAGGGUGAGAGCCCCGUACGGUUGGUCGCUAAGCCUCUGUGAAACUCCUUCGACGAGUCGAGUAGUUUGGGAAUGCUGCUCUAAAUGGGAAGUGUACGCC